CAGUUAUGGAUCAUGAAAACAACGCUCAUUCGUUGUUAAAGUUGAUUGAGGACUAUGAUCCUAUAUUUUUCGAAUUGUUCGUCGACCAAAAACAGUUAUGGAUCAUGAAAACAACGCUCCUUCGUUAUUAAUGUUGAUUGGGGACUAUGAUUCUAUAUUUUUGGAAAUACCGUAUGAUUUUGCAACCUUAUUUUGG